GAUGAACGCUGGCGGCGUGCCUAAUACAUGCAAGUCGAGCGAAUGGAUUAAGAGCUUGCUCUUAUGAAGUUAGCGGCGGACGGGUGAGUAACACGUGGGUAACCUGCCCAUAAGACUGGGAUAACUCCGGGAAACCGGGGCUAAUACCGGAUAAUAUUUUGGACUGCAUGGUUCAAAAUUGAAAGGCGGCUUCGGCUGUCACUUAUGGAUGGACCCGCGUCGCAUUAGCUAGUUGGUGAGGUAACGGCUCACCAAGGCAACGAUGCGUAGCCGACCUGAGAGGGUGAUCGGCCACACUGGGACUGAGACACGGCCCAGACUCCUACGGGAGGCAGCAGUAGGGAAUCUUCCGCAAUGGACGAAAGUCUGACGGAGCAACGCCGCGUGAGUGAUGAAGGCUUUCGGGUCGUAAAACUCUGUUGUAAGGGAAGAACAAGUGCUAGUUGACUAAGCUGGCACCUUGACGGUACCUAACCAGAAAGCCACGGCUAACUACGUGCCAGCCGCCGCCGUAA
rnacentral:rRNA from 1 species